CUUUCUGUUUGCUCCAGGUAUCUAAUCAGCAAUGUGCAAAGUACAGCCAAGAAUAUGGCCACUGUGUCGAACCAACGAGAUUGGAACCAUCAGCUCUCAGCUAAUGUGUAAAUUAAACGUGACAACUCUACGCCAGGUUCUAGUAGAACAGUACCUGAUAGAAAUUGCCAAGAACUAUAACAUGCCAUGUAAAUCCAAAGCAACCAUUAUGGUGAGUACUUUCAAGAAGGGAGGCUUGACUUAAAGCUGAGAUUUUUAUUGUGCACCAGAUUUUUUUCUGCUUAGGAAUGCGGCUUCUGGAGUAACUCUGGCAGGAUUGUAAAGCAGGUGACAUUUGCACCUUUUCUCUGCCCACAUACUUUUCCUAACAGAGAUUGACUUCUGGCUGUCACAUGACCCUUCUAAACUGGUAACAACAGAGUAGAAAACAAAGAUGAAGAUAUCUAAAGUGUUAUACUUAGGGGCGCCUGGGUGGCUCAGUCGUUAAGCAUCUGCCUUGGCUUCGGGAAUCGAGCCCCGCAUCAGGCUCCUCCACUGGGAGCCUGCUUCUUCCUCUCCCACUCCCCCUGCUUGUGUUCCCUCUGUCCCUGGCUGUCUCUCUCUCUC
rnacentral:lncRNA from 1 species